UACAGAGGUCUCAAGCGGUGUUCGGAUUCAUUGGGCGUAAAGCGUGCGUAGACGGUUAUGUAAGUCGGGUGUGAAAGCCCCGGGCUCAACCUGGGAAUGCCAUUCGAGACUGCAUAGCUAGGGUGCGGAAGAGGGAAGCGGAAUUUCCGGUGUAGCGGUGAAAUGCGUAGAUAUCGGAAGGAACACCAGUGGCGAAAGCGGCUUCCUGGUCCAGCACCGACGUUCAGGCACGAAAGCGUGGGGAGCAAACAGG
rnacentral:rRNA from 1 species